rnacentral:rRNA from 1 species
AGAGUUGAUCCUGGCUUAGGAUGAACGCUGGCGGCGUGCCUAACACAUGCAAGUCGAGCGAUUACUUCGGUGAAGAGCGGCGGACGGGUGAGUAACGCGUGGGUAACCUGCCUCAUACACAUGGAUAACAUACCGAAAGGUAUGCUAAUACAGGAUAAUAUAAGAGAUUCACAUGGAUUUUUUAUCAAAGCUCCGGCGGUAUGAGAUGGACCCGCGUCUGAUUAGCUAGUUGGUAAGGUAAUGGCUUACCAAGGCGACGAUCAGUAGCCGACCUGAGAGGGUGAUCGGCCACAUUGGAACUGAGACACGGUCCAAACUCCUACGGGAGGCAGCAGUGGGGAAUAUUGCACAAUGGGCGAAAGCCUGAUGCCAGCAACGCCGCGUGAGUGAUGAAGGCCUUCGGGUCGUAAAACUCUGUCCUCAAGGAAGAUAAUGACGGUACUUGAGGAGGAAGCCCCGGCUAACUACGUGCCAGCCGCUGC